AUGUCAAGGGCUGCCGGCGGCUCCCCUACCUCCGCGCUACCGCUCCACGAGAGGAGGCUGGAAAGCAGCGGCACGACGCGAGCCCUGCGGGAAGGCGGUCCACGCAUCCCGGCGCAGCGCGGUUAUUUCUUCCGCUCACUUCGUGCAACUCGCCCGGCGCUGCCCUCGCCUCCCAGCAGGUGGGCCAGCCCCCUCCCCGCGGGGCGCCGUGCCCGGGCAGCCCCCGCGCCUCCAGGAGCGCUUUCCCCGCUCGCCGGGGGCUGCCCCGGCUGCGCCCCCGCCCCCGGGGGUUGCCCUGGGGCGCACCGCGCUGCCCCCGGCGGGCCCCGGGCCGGGCACGACGCGGCCCCCCCGCUCCAACCCCCCCCCGCUCCCUUCCGGGCCGGGCGGCGGCCCUGCCCCGCUCCCUCCGCCGCCCACCCCCGGCUGGGCCUAGCGCUGUUCGGCUGCCGCCGCCAGGCCCGCGGAGAGGGGGGAAGGGGAUCCCCAGCCGGGCGGGGGGCCCCCCACUCACCCAGGCCGAUCCCCUCGGGGCCGCCCCCGCCGCCUUCCAUGCCGGGCGGCGCGGGGCGGGGGGCGCAGCAGGGGCGGCGGCGGGCGGGCGGAGGAGGCGAGGCGGGCGGGCGGGCGGAGGGCAGGGCGGCCGGGGCCCUCCCUCCCCGCCUGCCUCCGCUCGGCCCCCCUCGGCCGCCGCCGCGGCGCUCGAGCAGCCUCCGCCUCGGGGUCGGGGGCGAGCUCGGGGGCAGGCCCAGGCCCGGGCCCCGCCACCGCCGGCGGACGCGGCUCCCGCCCGGGCUCCCGCUGCCUUCGGCCGCCGCCGCAGCGCUACGUGGCCGCCGCAGCCCAGUCUCGCGACUCCGCCGCGCGCACGCGCGCGGGAGCGCGCCGAGGAGGCGGCUGCCGCGAGCGGGGCGUGGGGGGGGCGCGCGCGCGCGAACGCGCUGGGCAGGGGGGGAAACACCCAUAGGCCGAGGGGAGCGCGAGCCGGGGGCGCAUGCGCCGUCGGGCGGCCGCCGGUUCCCCGCCCGCCCGCGAUUCACCUCGGGCCGCGGCGGAGCCGGAGGGGAGCGCGGCGCGCAGGUGAAUGAACAAGACAGCGGUGACCCUCUUCAAAAUUGUGAAUUUUAUCAGAGGGAUGUCAGAAAGCAGUGGACAGUCUUGCUCAAAGGAGCACAGGCAACCAGGAAAUUACAAAGAUUCUUUUGCAAAGGGCUGAUCUGGUAG
rnacentral:lncRNA from 1 species